CCUACGGGAGACAGCAGUGAGGAAUAUUGGUCAAUGGACGCAAGUCUGAACCAGCCAUGCCGCGUGCAGGAAGACGGCUCUAUGAGUUGUAAACUGCUUUUGUACGAGGGUAAACGCAGAUACGCGUAUCUGUCUGAAAGUAUCGUACGAAUAAGGAUCGGCUAACUCCGUGCCAGCAGCCGCGGUAAUACGGAGGAUGCAAGCGUUAUCCGGAUUUAUUGGGUUUAAAGGGUGCGUAGGCGGUCGGAUAAGUUAGAGGUGAAAUCCCGAGGCUCAACUUCGGAAUUGCCUUUGAUACUGUUCGGCUAGAGAGUAGUUGCGGUAGGCGGAAUGUAUGGUGUAGCGGUGAAAUGCUUAGAGAUCAUACAGAACACCGAUUGCGAAGGCAGCUUACCAAGCUACUUCUGACGUUGAGGCACGAAAGCGUGGGGAGCGAACAGGAUUAGAUACCCUAGUAGUC
rnacentral:rRNA from 1 species